rnacentral:ncRNA from 2 species
AUUCAUCUUCGGGGUUUGGUGAAAUUCCAUACCGGCGGUUAAAGCCCGCGACCCAAUAUAUGUAUGUAUAUUGGCUGACUUAGUGAAAUUCUAAGGCCGACAGUUAAAGUCUGGAUGGGAGAAGAUGGAG